rnacentral:rRNA from 1 species
CCUACGGGAGGCUGCAGUGAGGAAUAUUGGUCAAUGGGCGCGAGCCUGAACCAGCCAAGUCGCGUGAAGGAUGAAUGCCCUACGGGUUGUAAACUUCUUUUAUAAAGGAAUAAAGUGAGGCACGUGUGCCUUUUUGUAUGUACCUUAUGAAUAAGCAUCGGCUAACUCCGUGCCAGCAGCCGCGGUAAUACGGAGGAUCCGAGCGUUAUCCGGAUUUAUUGGGUUUAAAGGGUGCGUAGAUGGGUUGUUAAGUCAGUUGUGAAAGUUUGUGGCUCAACCGUAAAAUUGCCAUUGAUACUGGCAGCCUUGAGUACAGUUGAGGUAGGCGGAAUGCGUGGUGUAGCGGUGAAAUGCAUAGAUAUCACGAAGAACUCCGAUUGCGAAGGCAGCAUACUAAA